AGGUUAUUAUUAUUUGGCACGAUAAGCCCUUAGCACCAUAUUGAUUAGAGCGUAGUUCAUGAGGUGUGGAUCCCCCCCUCAUGAUUUAAUUGGCAUUAAUACGGAUUAUUUAGCCCAUGAUGCAUGUUGAUACGGAUCCAGAUACCCAAGUACGUCAUCUCAAUAGAAUUCUCUUCAAUUUAUUCUUGUCAUUUCAAUUCCAAUUUUAGAAUUUAUUCUCGCCAUUUUAAUUUAAGUUUUAGCAUAUUCUAAAUCAUUUCCACCAAAAAUCCAACCACCCAUUUACAAAACUAAUUCUACACAUAAUUAAAAUCCACCUCCUCGUGGGAUCGACACUCGUCACCAUUAGUCUAUACUACAAUAGAUUCGUGCGCUUGCAAGUACAUUAAAAUUUGCACAACAACAUUGAUUGAAUUUUCUUUGUAAAGAAGAAAGGGAAAUUAAUCGUGAAGGUAAGGAACUAUUCUGUGAACAGAAAAAUUUCCUUGAACCCUUCGGAUUUCUGAUUCCCAGAGAGAGAGAGAGAGAGAGAGGAGAAGAAAGAAGAGAGAGAAGCUCUAAACUUAGAAAUGAAAAACCUGAGGAGUCUUAGUCUUCCUCUCGGUUUUUAUACAAAUUGAAAAUUAAACUGUAGACUGUAGCGGAGCUGUAGCAUACAGUAAUCUUUGGAAAUCGUCACUGUUCACUGUAGCGCUUGCGAGUACAUUAAAAUUUGCACAACAAGUUUUUGGCGCCGUUGCCGGGGAGGUAAGUAAUUUUAAUUCAUAG
rnacentral:lncRNA from 1 species